rnacentral:lncRNA from 1 species
AACAAAAGACUUUAGUAAGAAUUCAAGAAUCCAUAAACCAAUAACAAGAGAAUUUUAAACUUUAAGAAUCUUUAAAAAUCAUUCUCCCAAUACCCCCCAUAAGAUAAGGAUUGGUUUGUUGAUUCAUCAAUUCUAUCAUAUAACAAAGAGAGAGGAAUAUUCGAGGAGAUUGGGGGGGGAUUCCCUUUCCAUAUUCAAUCACAUCUGGCGAUGACGUCAGCAUUCCCCAUGACGUUCAGAUAAGAACGACGACGACGACGAAGACUCCAUUUUUUGAGUCAUGUACUAAUUUGUUUAUUGACCUUACCGUUCGUUCUUUUCUUCCCUGUUAUUAUAAAAAACAAAUGCACAUUAAUUUUUUAAUUUAUACUCCAUAUCGUAUAGUUUAAGCAAAACGAGGGAAGAAGAAUAUACUACUACUACUACUAUUGUAGAUUCUAUUAUGUAUUUUUCCGUUAAAUAAGAUAUCAGAAAACUAAAAAAUUUAUUUUUACAUAAAUGUUUGACAUCGACUUAAAUUAAAAAAAAGGAAUCACACCAAAAAGAAAAUAAAAAGGUACUACCUAAAGAGAAUCAAUUUAGAAUAUAUCAUUUUAAAUUACAUUUUUUUUCAAAUAUUUACAUACAUUUUGUAGAGGUGGAGGAAUAUUCCUUAGGAGUUGUGGGAGAAAAAUAAGCAACAAAAAGGAAAAAAAAAAAAAAGGGAAAGGAGAGAAUCUUAAAGAAGCGUCACAUUCACACAUAAUGAUAUUAUCCAGAUCGCGUUUCCUCUUUUACUCAAUUUUUUUUGUAAUUUUUAAAAAUGUGUGACUCUUGACGUUACCGAAGAGCCAUAUUCCCACCUGCCCCGCACCAAACCUACUCUCUCUCUCUCUCUCUCUCGCCCUAUUUAUCAAGCAAUAUUCUCGUGAAUGAAUGAAUAACCUGACACCCCCAGACCCAGCCCAUAUAUAUUGGUUGUGGAAUUAAAAAAAAAACAAAAAACCAAUAUUAGUGCUGUCUUGUGCUUUCACUCCUGUAAAAUGGAAAACACGUCUAACUUUUGAGUUCAUAUCCUUGAGUGUUUCUCUCAAUUUCUUCGAACUGAACUGUGGAUAUGGCUAUUGUACUGUGUCCAUCUACUACCGUACCAAACUAUAUUUUAUGUACCUAUAAAGAUUCAAAAGGCUUUUUAAGUUUAUAAUCAGUAUUUUUGGACGCGUUGUGGCUAUAACUAGCUAUAAGUAAAAUUGUACGAGAGGCCUUAAAGCAAUUGAAGAACGAUAUAUAUCAAAAUCAAGACAUAGUACAAGGCUACUCCUAAUGUUUGUUUGCUAUGUAUCUAUGAGUACAUUCUAAUGGCACUUUUGCCGACCAAGACACAUUAGCAAUAGCUAGAGUGUUUGUUUCCCUUUUUAUUGCUAUGCUGCAUUACUAGCUAGACAUGUCAUCCAAACCGCAUACCGCAAGUUUUCAUCUUUCCUACUCGUCUCAUGUAGUCGAUGACACAUAGGCUAUGGACAAAGAGGUUUGCAAGUACACAAUAACGAAAGUCCUGAGAAUUGAUCAUUUGUGAUUACAUUUCUUUUGAGUUAAGGGAUCAUGUACAAGCUUACGGAUGUGAAAGACCACCAACAUUCUUUUAGAUGAAUAUAAUUACCAC